rnacentral:ncRNA from 1 species
CCCUGACUUAUUAUCAGCUAAUACUUAACCUUACACAUGCAAGCCUCCGCAACCCAGUGAGAACACCCUUAAACCUUCCACAAGAUAAGGAGUUGAUAUCAGGCACAGACACCUAGCCCACAACAUCUAGCCUCGCCACACCCUCAAGGGUAUUCAGCAGUGAUUAACAUUGAACAUAAGCGCCAGCUUGAUUCAGUUAAAGUAUAAUAGUGCCGGCUAACACGGUGCCAGCCGCCGCGGCUACACCGCUGGACACAAGUUGAUAACCCCCGGCGUUAAGCGUGUUUUAAGCACACUAAAACUAGAGUUAAAUUAUUAGUACAGACGUUAAAAUCUUACUUUAAAGAAACCCAAAAACGAAAGUUACUCUAAUUAAACGCUUGAAUCCACGACAGCUAGGAUACAAACUGGGAUUUGAUACCCCACUAUGCCCAGCCGUAAAACAUUAAAUUACACCAUAAAUCGCCUGAGAACUACUAGCACACGCUUAAAACUCAAAGGACUUGACGGUGUUCCAUCCAACUAGAGGAGCCUGUUCUAUAAUCGAUAAUCCCCCGAUAAACCUCACCACCUUUUGUCAGUCAGUCUGUAUACCUCCGUCGUAAGUUUACCGUAUGAAUGUUAAUUAGUAAGCUAACAGAUCGUUUUACAUCAGUACGUCAGGUCAAGGUGCAACCUACAAGGUGGGAAGAAAUGGGCUACAGUUUUUAGUUUAAAACACACGGAUUAUUAUAUGAAAAAUAAUAUGAAGGUGGAUUUAGUAGUAAGAGAAAAAUAAAGUGUUCUUUUUAAUUGAGCAAUGAAAUGUGUACACACCGCCCGUCACCCUCUUCGAUAAAUAAGCAAGUGUCUAUAACAAGAUAAAAAAUAUAAGAAGAGGCAAGUCGUAACAUGGUAAGUAUACUGGAAAGUGUGCUUGGCACAACAAAGUAUAGCUCAAUUUUAAAGCAUUUCGGUUACAUCGAAUUUAUACCUGUUUGAUUCAGGUUAUUUUGAGCUUAAGACUUCGCCUAUAAAUCUUUUUUUUCCUACUAUAUGAUAAAACAUUUAACCAAUUUAGUAAAGGUGAUUAAAAAAUUUAAUAAGAGCUAUAUAUAAAGUACCGCAAGGGAAUAGUGAAAUAGAAGUGAAAUAAAUAAGAAAGCUUAUAAAAGCAAAGAUUAACCUUGUACCUUUUGCAUUAUGGUCUAGCCUAGUUUUAGCAAGUAAAUAAUAAUAUUUAAUUUGUACUCCCGAAGCCGGGCGAGCUACUUAAAAGACAGCCUUAGGGGCCAACCCGUCUCUGUUGCAAAAGAGUGGGAAGAUUUUUAAGUAGAGGUGAUAUGCCUAUCGAGCCUGGAGAUAGCUGCUUGCCUUCGAAAAGAAUUUUAGUUCUGCCUCAAAUUUUAGAAUAGCGUAGGAAUAUUUAUUUGAGAGUUAUUCAAAUAUGGUACAGCCUAUUUGAUGUUGGAUACAGCCAAAGACUUUGGGUAAUGUAUUUUUCCUGAUUAAUUGAGUUGGCUUAAAGGCAGCCACCUACAAUAAGAGCGUUAUAGCUUAAUUAAUUUUUUUUUGUAAUUCUGUAAUAUAAACAAAACCCAAUCCUAAUAUUGAGCAUUUUUAUAAUUUAUAAAUGAUAUUAUGCUAGAACUAGUAACAAGAAAAAUUUCUCCAAAAUAUAAGUAUAAAUCAAGAAAGAAUUUUAAAAUACUGUAAUAACUUUUCAAGAAACUUUUACUAAAUUAAACAUUAAACUUACAUAAGUAUAUUUCAGGAAAGAUAAAAGCAAAAGGAAGGAAUUCGGCAAAUUUAAGUCUCGCCUGUUUACCAAAAACAUCACCUCUUGAUAGAAUAUAAGAGGCCCAGCCUGCCCAGUGAUUAAUUUAACGGCCGCGGUAUCCUAACCGUGCGAAGGUAGCAUAGUCAUUUGUUCUUUAAAUGGGGACUAGUAUGAAUGGCAUUACGAAGACUUUACUGUCUCCUUUUUGUAAUCAGUGAAACUGAUCUUCCCGUGAAGAAGCGGGAAUUAAUGUAUAAGACGAGAAGACCCUAUGAAGCUUUAAAUUGAGUAGCAGCUGCUAUUUUAUAUAUCAAUUUAGUUUAAGCAGAAUUUGACUAUCAGUUUUAGGUUGGGGUGACCGAGGAGUAGAAUAAAACCUCCUUAAUGAAGGGGAUAUCUCUAAUUUAAGAAUAACACUUCUAAAAAUCAAAAUAUUGACAUAAGUUGAUCCAGAUUUCUGAUCAAUGGACUAAGUUACUCUAGGGAUAACAGCGCAAUCCAUUUUCGAGAGCUCGUAUCGACAAUUGGGUUUACGACCUCCAUGU